rnacentral:rRNA from 1 species
UAGGGAAUAUUGCAAAAUGGGCGAAAGCCCGAUGCAGCAACGCCGCGUGGGCGAUGAAGGCCUUCGGGUCGUAAAGCCCUUUUUGAGGGGAUGAGGAAGGACAGUACCCUCAGAAUAAGCCCCGGCUAACUACGUGCCAGCAGCCGCGGUAAUACGUAGGGGGCAAGCGUUGUCCGGAUUUACUGGGUGUAAAGGGUGCUCAGGCGGAUUUGUAAGUCAGAGGUGAAAUCUUACAGCUUAACUGUGAAACUGCCUUUGAUACUGCAAGCCUAGAGUAUGGAAGAGAGUGAUGGAAUAUCUGGUGUAGCAGUGAAAUGCGUAGAUAUCAGAUAGAACACCAAUGGCGAAGGCAGUCACUUGGUCCAUUACUGACGCUAAAGCACGAAAGCGUGGGUAGCAAACA